AUCGUUUGAAACAAUUAAGUUAUUUUUCAUUUGUUUCUUUGUCGAACGUGUUUGGCGUUUGAAACGAAAAUGUCAUCAAAAAUAGUUGUUGUGAUACUGCUGGUGGUGCUGAUAGUCACGUCCCAAGUAUAUGGAGCGGAAGACACCUAUCACUUCCAAAAGUUCGACGACGAAACCAAAAAAAGGUACGUAGCUUCCAAAAGAGCCGGCACGAUUGCCUACGUGAUUUACCUUUUGAUAGUAUUCAGAUAUGGGCUAGAAAUAUACACAUGAUCUUGCAGCCGUUUUUCUUUCCAAAAAUCCAUCGUUUUGUUUUUAUGGGAUACUACUUUACAUUUUUUUGGUUGGUUUUGGAGCUGGCGGGUUACUGCACGAACUAUAGUUCAACAGAAACAGUGUAAAAUGGUUUUUUAAUGAUAGAAAUUUCGAGGAAUUUUCUCCAUAUAGUAUAUCGCGCUUUAAUUAUGCAGAAUCCGUUCAAAUUAAUUUAAAUCAAAUUUAAUUAGCAUUAAUUAAUAUUAGUAUAUUUUUAGUUUAUGGAUAGGAAGCAAUAUUGGUCGUGGUAAAACGAAAUAUGCCCGUAAGGCACUCUACCAAUUGAAUUAAUAUAAACAUACUGUGAUUGGGCAAGGGAUUAUUUGAAUUUCCAGACAGAUGAAUUUGUUAAUAGUAAUAACAUUUACUUCAUAUUGAAUGUCGUUGUUGUUUUUUUCAGUUAUUGUGUGAAAGGCUGGGGAAGCUUUCAUUCCCCUUAAAAUUCAGAGUCUAACUAUU